rnacentral:rRNA from 1 species
ACGCUCGACACCUACGGGGGCAGCAGUAGGGAAUCUUCCACAAUGGGCGCAAGCCUGAUGGAGCAACACCGCGUGAGUGAAGAAGGGUUUCGGCUCGUAAAGCUCUGUUGUUGGAGAAGAACGUGCGUGAGAGUAACUGUUCACGCAGUGACGGUAUCCAACCAGAAAGUCACGGCUAACUACGUGCUAGCAGCCGCGGUAAUCUGAGCGGGCUGGCAAGGC